AUGAACGCUGGCGGCGUGCCUAAUACCUGCAAGUCGAGCGAACAGACGAGGAGCUUGCUCCUCUGACGUUAGCGGCGGACGGGUGAGUAACACGUGGAUAACCUACCUAUAAGACUGGGAUAACUUCGGGAAACCGGAGCUAAUACCGGAUAAUAUAUUGAACCGCAUGGUUCAAUAGUGAAAGACGGUUUUGCUGUCACUUAUAGAUGGAUCCGCGCCGCAUUAGCUAGUUGGUAAGGUAACGGCUUACCAAGGCAACGAUGCGUAGCCGACCUGAGAGGGUGAUCGGACACACUGGAACUGAGACACGGUCCAGACUCCUACGGGAGGCAGCAGUAGGGAAUCUUCCGCAAUGGGCGAAAGCCUGACGGAGCAACGCCGCGUGAGUGAUGAAGGUCUUCGGAUCGUAAAACUCUGUUAUUAGGGAAGAACAAAUGUGUAAGUAACUAUGCACGUCUUGACGGUACCUAAUCAGAAAGCCACGGCUAACUACGUG
rnacentral:rRNA from 1 species